UACGGAGGGUGCGAGCGUUAAUCGGAAUAACUGGGCGUAAAGGGCACGCAGGCGGGCUGUUAAGUGAGUCGUGAAAUCCCCGGGCUUAACCUGGGAAUUGCGUCUGAUACUGGUGAGCUAGAGUCUGGUAGAGGGGGGUGGAAUUCCAUGUGUAGCGGUGAAAUGCGUAGAGAUGGGGAGGAAUAUCAGUGGCGAAGGCGGCCUCCUGGACAAAUACUGACACUCAUGUGCGAAAGCGUGGGGAGCAAACAGG
rnacentral:rRNA from 1 species